AAGGAGAGACCGGUCCCCCAGUGAGCAGUGUUGAGGCAGCCUGAGGCAACCGGUCCCUGGCAGGCGAGACCGGUCCCCGAGCGCGUCUUCGCAGUGAGAGACCGGUCCUGCACGGGGAGAGACCGGUUCCCGAACGUUGGUUUUUCGGGUUCGCAGCGAGAGACCGGUCCCUGCUGGGGAGAGACCGGUCCCUCUGGGCGAAAACUGCCCAGUUCGGGCUGAUGUAAUAUUGGGUUUUUGAGGGGCCUGGUUGGAUUUUGUUACUCUAGAUGGGCUUAUUAGCCAUUUCACUCCCUUCCCUCCUCAUUUCUCACCACCCUACACCUUCUAGAGAGAGAAGAAGAAGAAGGAGAAGAAGAAGAAGGAGGAGAAGAAGAAGAGGAGCUAGUUUGAGGGAGCUUGGAGCUCAACCCCUUUCUCUCUUUCCCACCUUGGCAAGGCUUGGAGCUUGCUUGUAGAGCUUAGUGGUGGACCAACUUCAACCCUAGAAGAUUUUGAGCUUGGAUUGGAGCAUCCUAGAGGUAUGUGGCAAGGUUCCUCCCUCUAGAUCUUAGUUUUGGAGCUUUUUGCUUGUUUUAACCCUAGAAUGAGAUUUAGGGUUUAAUUUUGGGCAUUUUUGAUCUAGGGCUUUUGGGGCUAAAUUGAUUGGUUUAGAACCUUCCUAGGGCUUGGAUUGGAAGGGUUCUAGCUCUCUUUUGGAGCUUUGGGAGAGAUUUCUACUCUUGAGGUAAAUUUUGGCCCUUUUUGCUCCUAGGUUAAUGUUUGAUCUUACGGUUGGUCGUGAUGCUCCCGUAUCUCUUCACUGACCACUUUUAGGGUAUCUUGAGGCUCGUGGACAACUUCGUUCGGCGAAUCGAGACCCUACGCGACGGUUCGGUGGGUUUGACCUAGCCACACAAUGAGAAAUUCUCAUGUGUGUUUAAUUAAGUGUUGUUAAAUGAAAAAGCAUGCAUAUUCUUGUUAUACGAAUUUAUUGUGAAUUUUAGAAUGCUUAAAAGGCCUACGUUAUAUAUAAUGAAAUUUUGGACCUCUAUGUAGUAGAGAGUAGCUUAUUAGGCCAUGGUUGCAUUUAGCAUUCUAUAUGAGACGCGGUAUCCUACUUCUAUAGUAUAAAUGAGUUCGGAUUCAUGCAUGUAAACCUACAAUUACUUGUGACAUGAAAAUUGACAAGAUUGUCAUUUAGAAGCUAUGUGAAUUAGAGAGCUAAUGUCAUCAAGCGGCAUUGAGCUCGGGACGCGUGUGAACCUAAUGGAUAGGGCCAUCAAGGGAUUUGAAAUACAUAUUGAACAUCAGAUUGCCUAAGUGUCAUCAAAGGGCACUAGGCGUAGCAAAGGUUGAACCUUCACAUUGUGACAUAAACUAGAUCUUUGGGAUACUAGUGACUAUACCAUGUUAGAGACAUGAGGAUUGGAUACUUUAGACUUGGACUUUGCUUGCUUGCCAUUUGUGCUCAUUCGCACAUGCUUGUGAGGGUCGCUCCCUACAAGCCGGCACUCCGGAGUUAGCCUAUGCGACCUAUGUUCGCUCGUGCGGUAUUGAGAAGCCUACGGGGUCGAGUGGGACAGACACAUUCCAAGAGUAGGAAUGUCGGGCUACCACAGGCACUUAGGCGGCACAAGCUGGACUACCUUUGGUAGGUCCUUGAUUGGAAAUGGAAAUCGAUACGGGGUCGAGAUUGGUUAAUCACUACUAGAUAGGUUUAGUAGUUGGAUUACAUUUAUAUGUUUUUUUAGCAUAGUGUUGAGACAUGUAGUAUAUUUGAUAGUCUCUUGUUGCAUUAGAGCAUACUUGGUUGCCAUGAUAGAGCUUAUGCAUCAUGCAUUGAUAAGGGUUAUUGACAUUAGACUAGUGCCAUUGGACGUAAUUGUAAGGAUAGAAUAGAUGUACAUUUUGGUUUACAUCACGCUUUCUUUCAGCAGUUUAUUUACAUGCUCCUUAUUGCUUAUUAUUAUUAUCGUUGCUUACCUUUGUUUUUGGGGCCUAGUGGAGCAGGAGCUGAGGUCAGUAAUUGCCCACUGGGAACUAUAGCUUAUAGUUCUCACGCCCUCUUUUUCUCGAUGUUUUCAGAGCCUUCCACUCAGGGCGAGGCUAGGGACCGCGGGAAGGGAGUUGCUUCGAGCUAGCUUCCUUUGAGGACGAUUCGCUAGGUGGUCUACCUCUCGUUGUGUUUUAUUUUGGAGAGGUUGAGAGUUCUACCAGUGUAUUAGAGACCACCGUUUUUGUACUUUUGAGACAGAUAUUGUACUACUUGUGAUUUCUUUAUUGUCUAGCUUUACUUGCUCUGAUAUCAUUAGUUGCUAGUUAUUUCACCUCGUCAUUUGUUCUAUUCUUGCUUUUACUUCCGCUUUUAUUGUAGACGCCUUAUAUGUGUAGACAUAUGGCGGGUCUGGGCACGCUACCGGGAGGGCCUCCGCCGGUCCCGGGGCGUGACAGAUUAAUUUGGUAUCAGAGCCUAGGGUUGAGUCUUAGUGGACCUAGCGAACCUUAGGCCGGUUGAACUAUAGGAAUUAGGCUCGUGAGAUACGGGGUCUAAUUGACUUGUGAGCGAAAGUAUCGUGAUUGGGUGUCUUGAUAACUCUAAAAAGGUUAGAGUUGGAUCGGAGUGUAUGGCUCCUAACUUCGCGGAGGGUUACGUUGGCGGCCGACAACGUAACAUCGGGAGUUAGUAGUGAAGGACACUUCCUUACUUUCGCAUGAUUUGGGUUUUAUCUAUUUGAGCGGGGAUUCGAUAGUGCGGGUUACUAACUUGCACUUUUAUGUUUUGUAGCGACGAUGCCGAUUACUCGCUCCCAGUCUGCCGGGGCGGAUGAUGCGGCACAUCCCGAGGAGGUUGAGACCUCCGCUACUUCCGGAUCUAGCGAGGUCCGUGACCUGAAGGCCCAGCUUGCGGCCCUUACUGAUCUGUUGGCGCAGCAGACGGUAGCGGCGCAGCGACAGGCCGAGGUGGCUCAGCGGCAGGAGGCACGGAUGAAGCAUUUGGAGGGCCUCCUACUUCAGCAGGCGGCAGCCUCGAGGGAGACCAAGGGUCCUACACCGCCAGCACCCGUGGUGGACGUCGCACCGAGGGCGCAGUCCCCCGCGCCCAGUUCUUCCCGUGCGGCACCGGCGCCCGCACCUCGGGAGGAGGUGGCUGCGGUACCCCCAGUACAGAGACCGGCGACGGGGGUGGCAUUCCCCGUGAUGGUCGAGGGAGCUGAGCGGGAUCGGCUCAUGGAGCGCCUCAGUGAGUUCAGGAGGUGCAGCCCGAGGAUGUUUGAUGGCGAGAACGUCAACCACUGGAUUGUUGAGAAGUGGUUGAUACACAUGGAAAAGCUGUUUCGAGACACUUUUGUGGAGGAGCGGACAGAGUUUGGCUUGCCACUCACUUUUUGGACGGCGAGGCCUACCGUUGGUGGUUGGAUAUCCAGGACAACCCCAACAUCGACUUUUCAGCGAUUACUUGGACACGAUUCAAGGAGCUUCUACUGGCGCACCACUUUCCUACCAGCGUCAAGAGGAAGAUGGAGCAGGAUUUGCGCAGCUUGCGCCAAGAUGAGCGGUCAGUGGCUCAGUACGAGAGGGAGUUCUCCCGGAUACUACANUGAGCUGAGGUCAGUAAUUGCCCACUGGGAACUAUAAAUUAUAGUUCUCACGCCCUCUUUUUCUCGUU
rnacentral:lncRNA from 1 species